rnacentral:lncRNA from 1 species
GGGGAACUAACUGUUUCCUCAGCCGCGUCCAGCCUCGCAGCACUGCUCUUCUGCUUGCUACUCCAGCGAAGGGACAUGCCUGCUGGCCAGGACGCUAGUGGGCCUCGUAGCCUGGCGAGUGUGUGCCCGCGCGUGUCCACCCUGCCCCCGGCCGGUGCGCCCCGCGCGCCCAAACCCGGCCGGCGACCACUGCGCGCCGGGCGCUUCCAAACGGCUCCUGUCCAGAGGCAUCCCUCUUUCGGCUUUCUCCAUCCCGCGUCCGCUUCCGCACCCGAGAGCGACAAGCAAAAAAGAUUCAGUGCAACUCAAGGACUGACUCUGCCAUCCAGGUUGCAGUGCGAUGGUGUGAUCAAUGCUCAUAGUAGCUUCAAACUCCCAGGAUCAAGUGAUCCUCCUAAAUAAACCUCCUGAGUAGCUGGGACUACAGCUUCCACCAUGGGAUGAUACAGCAUGAAGGCCCUCACCAGAUAUGCGCCCCUUGAUUUUGGACUUCCCGGACUCCAGAACUAUCUCUGUGACUACUCUGUGAAUUGGUCUGUACAGGCCCACUUGAGUACAGAUGAGCCAUUUCAGCUAAGCCUACAAGAAACUUCCAGCUAAACCUAGCCCAAAUUGCCAACUUGCAGAAUUAAUCUGGGCUAUCCCUGUGACUUGCUUUGACUAAUGGAGUGUGACAGAAUGACGUUGUGCAACAUCCAAAUCAGGACUUAAGAAACUGUAGGCAGCCAUCAUGCUGUGAACCCAAGCUGUGUGGAGAGACUAAGUGGAGGUGAAUGGAGUCAGUUCAGUCAACAGCCCUACCUGAUAUUUCAGUCCAUAACUAGCCCUGUGUGUCAGCCCUGUGAACAGGUCGUCUUGGACUUUUCACCCCAGUUGAGAAUAAUGACUACAUCCUCAGCUGAUAGCACAUGGAACAGAGGAACUACCUAGCUUAGCUGGGCCCAUAUUGCAGAAUUGUGAGAGAUCAUGAAAAGUUGUGUUUUUU